rnacentral:lncRNA from 1 species
CAUGGUGGUAUAUGACUUCUGGUCUUCUCCUCAUUUGCUUGAUUUUAUGAUUUGAUUGUAAUCAUCAAGGGGUUCAUUGGAUUUUUGAGUUUCGAUAGUUGUGUUUAAAUGUUAAAUCUUAUUUUCAUUAUUAUAUGAAUGUUAAAAAAAAAUUUAAAAUCUAUAUUCUGCUGUGUCACCAAAACUUAAUAGUAGUAUUAGAGCCACCCUUGA